AUUGAACGCUGGCGGCGUGCCUAACACAUGCAAGUCGAACGAACCUGAUCUUCGGAAAAGGUUAGUGGCGCACGGGUGAGUAACACGUAGGUGACCUGCCCUGGAGUGGGGGAUAACUUCUCGAAAGAGAGGCUAAUACCGCAUACGCUCGGCCAUUCAGUUGGUCGAGUAAAGCUCCGGCGCUCCAGGAGGGGCCUGCGUCCGAUUAGCUAGUUGGUGAGGUAAUGGCUCACCAAGGCGAUGAUCGGUAGCUGGUCUGAGAGGACGAUCAGCCACACUGGCACUGACACACGGGCCAGACUCCUACGGGAGGCAGCAGUGAGGAAUAUUGGUCAAUGGGCGAAAGCCUGAACCAGCAACGCCGCGUGAGGGAUGAAGGCCUUCGGGUCGUAAACCUCUUUUCUGGAGAGAGACAAGGACGGUAUCCCAGGAAUAAGUCUACGGCUAACUACGUGCCAGCAGCCGCGGUAAU
rnacentral:rRNA from 1 species